GCUGAAAAUUUAGCCCUAACCCAACCAAUGCAACACAAAUAACUCACCUCACUCACUAAAACAUUCUAAUACUUUAGUACAGGAGAUUGAAAAACUACUUGGAGCUAUACUAUACAGUACCGCAAGGGAAAAAUGAAAUAAAAAUGAAACAACUAUUAAGCAUAAAAAAGUAGAGAUUACCCCUCGUACCUUUUGCAUCAUGGUUUAACUAGUCUAAUCAAGCAAAAUGACUUAUAGUUUGACCUCCCGAAACUAAGCGAGCUACUUCAAGGCAGCUUAAUGAGCAAACCCGUCUCUGUUGCAAAAGAGUGGGAAGACCUUCAAGUAGGGGUGACAGACCUAACGAGCCUAGUGAUAGCUGGUUGCUCAAGAAAGGAAUUUAAGUUCAACCUAAAAUUAACUCAAUCUAAUAAAAUAAUAACCUUAAUUUUAGAGCAAUUCAAAUAAGGUACAGCCUAUUUGAAAAAGGACACAACCUAGACCAUCGGGUAACCUUAUAUACUUUACUCAACAAAGUGGGCCUAAAAGCAGCCACCUUUUAAAAAGCGUCAAAGCUUAAUCGAGUUAACAACUAAUUCCAGUACCACCUAAGAACCCUUAAACAAUAUUGAGCAAUUCUAUACUACUAUAGAAGAUUUUAUGUUAAAACUAGUAACAAGAAGAAGAACUUCUCAUACAAUGCAAGUGUAAAUCAGAUAGGACACCCCACUGAUAGUUAACACCUGUGAAUAAAAAAUAGCAACCUAACAAGAAAACCCUACUAAUCUAUGCGUUAAACUAACACCAGAGCAUUAAGAGAAAGAUUAAAAGAAAGAGAAGGAACUCGGCAAAUAUUAACCUCGCCUGUUUACCAAAAACAUCGCCUCUUGAAUAAAUAUAAGAGGUCCAGCCUGCCCAGUGACUCUGUUCAACGGCCGCGGUAUCCUAACCGUGCGAAGGUAGCGUAAUCACUUGUUCUUUAAAUGAGGACUAGUAUGAAUGGCACCACGAAGGUUAUACUGUCUCCUCUCUCUAAUCAGUGAAACUAAUCUCCCCGUGAAGAAGCGGGAAUAAACAUAUAAGACGAGAAGACCCUAUGGAGCUUUAAACUAUGUAACACUUGCACCACCACAACACAAAUUUCAGAAAAAUCUCUCCAACGCAUGCAAGCUUAUUACCAGUUUUAGGUUGGGGUGACCGCGGAGCAAAAAACAACCUCCACAUUGAAAGGAACUUACUCCUUAGCCAAGAGCCACACCUCCACGCACCAUUAUAAUGACAUUAAUUGACCCAAUAUUUUGAUCAACGAACCAAGUUACCCUAGGGAUAACAGCGCAAUCCAUUUCAAGAGCUCCUAUCGACAAAUGGGUUUACGACCUCGAUGUUGGAUCAGGGUAUCCCGGUGGUGCAGCCGCUACCAAAGGUUCGUUUGUUCAACGAUUAAAACCCUACGUGAUCUGAGUUCAGACCGGAGUAAUCCAGGUCAGUUUCUAUCUAUAAAGAGCUUUCUCUAGUACGAAAGGACCGAAAAAGCACGGCCCCUAUAAUAUAUAAGCCCUAGCUAAUAACUUAUGACUCACACUCAAUAAAAACUUAGCCUAAUACCCCCCUCAAGACAAGAGCA
rnacentral:rRNA from 1 species